UGGGGAAUCUUGCACAAUGGGGGCAACCCUGAUGCAGCGACGCCGCGUGAGCGAUGAAGCCCUUCGGGGCGUAAAGCUCUUUCGACCGGAACGAUAAUGACGGUACCGGGAGAAGAAGCUGCGGCUAACUACGUGCCAGCAGCCGCGGUAAUACGUAGGCAGCAAGCGUUGCUCGGAGUUACUGGGCGUAGAGAGUGCGUAGGCGGCAAUUCAAGUCAGCUGUGAAAUCUCUGGGCUUAACCCGGAACGGCCAGCUGAUACUGCUUUGCUAGAGCGCGGAAGGGGCAAUCGGAAUUCUUGGUGUAGCGGUAAAAUGCGUAGAUAUCAAGAGGAACACCUGAGGUGAAGACGGGUUGCUGGGCCGACACUGACGCUGAGGCGCGAAAGCCAGGGGAGCAAACG
rnacentral:rRNA from 1 species